UUCUUAAUUGGUUAUUAGAAAUUCGUAGAUUCUUUGAGAUUCAUUGAACUUUUCAAUGGCAUGUUUCAAUCUCGAGUGUGCCCUCCAAAUUUUGUGACUGGGAUACCGAGGAUCACAAAACGAGGUGUGAAGUAACCAUGCAAAUCACUUGGUACCCUUAAAGUUUAUCACUCAAUCGAUGUGUCGGUAAACCACACACGCUCCACCGAUACUAUGAUAAACCUUAAGUCACCUUUUACCUACCUUGUUAAGUCCAAGUUAGUGUGCUGGUUAACCACACACGCUCCACCAACGACUUAAACAAAGUGUAAAGUGUAAUUUCAUGGAUUAGCACCUUAUUCACAUUUUUCCUAAAGUAACUAAGAUUGGGAAUUUAAUAAAACAUUUAGUUACUUUAUAAUAUUCAUCAUACUUUGAAUGAGAAUUNAGUAACUAAGAUUGGGAAUUUAAUAAAACAUUUAGUUACUUUAUAAUAUUCAUUAUAGUUUUAAUGAGAAUUUAUAAGUCCUUGUCCUACCCGUUCGGCUAACGACCCUCCACCGAUCAAGGAAGCGGUGUGUGAGAGUGGACACCCAUUAAGUUGCCAUUUUAUAGGCAACAACCUUAUACCCCCCUUAUAGACCGGCUUCGUGAAUGAGGCGUACUAGCGGUAAGACAACUUGAUCUUAUACAUAUAUAUAUUAUUAACUUAUAAUAUUAUAAAGUAUAAGGGUUGAAUUUUAACUUUUAAAAUUCUAAGGGUUGGAACUAAAGUUUUAAUCAAGACUUUACUUGUUCCAAAACUUGAGGGCAAGUUUUGUAAGCUUUCAAAACUUUUCAUUUCUUAUAACUUAUGAAUUUAAUUGAGUAAUAAAAAUGAAGACUCUUCAUUUUUAUAACUGUAGUGUUCUUUUAAUGGCUUUAAUAAAAGUGUGACUUUUGGUUUUCCAUAACUUGAGGACAAGUUAUGGACUCCAUUAAAACACUUUAUGAUCAUGAAUUAAACUACCAUGAAGGUUACAAGCAAUUCCUAUGAUCAUCUAAUCUUCAUAAGUUCAAGAACAUGAAUAUGAACAUUUCAAGAAUCAAAAUUCCACUUAAAAACUUGUAAUUUUGAUAAUUGCCAUUGCAAAUGGAUUAGCAUAAACAUUACACCAUCAAAAACAAGUUUUCAAGUACCAAAACAGUUUAGGGUAAUGUUUCUAGUCCAUUUCCAGCAACAAAAGUCGAAUUUCUAAAAACUGCAGCCUCUACUCGUCGAGUGCAAGAACAAAGUCGACGAGUAUCUUGCAUUUGCACAUGGACUCAUCGAGUCCCCCCAUGGACUCGGUGAGUUCAUACGAGCAAAAAACAAAAAAACGAUUUUUUUUCAACAGUUUGCACAAAAAACAAACAAACAAGCCUAGGCUCUGAUACCACUGAUGGGUUUUGAGCAUUCUAACACUUCCUAAGUGUACAUGCAACCCUAAUAACCUUGGAUCUAUGUUUGUCUAACUAUCAUGCAAACUUGAAUUCCAAGGUUAUAUUCCUAUCUAGCAUACAUGGGGAACAAUUUUUAACUUGAAUGAAUGAUAAAAUAACAUACCUUGUUGUUGCUUAUGAUCCUUGAAACCUUGUGAGCCUAGCACCCCAAGCGUGAUGCCUCAAAUGCUUCACACAACACCAAAUGCUUUUAGAAUGACUUUAGAGAGAAUACACACUUCUAAAAUCGGCCUAGCCCUCUUGUUUCUUAUGUGUAGCCGAUUUUGGUGGAUAAUAUGUUCUUUAUAUAGUGUUGACACAUCUAGGGUUACACCAUGUAAACCCUAAUGUGUCAUGGCUUUUCAUUUCCAUGACCCAUGGGUUUGUAACUCCCAUGGAGCAUCCAUGGAGCAUCCUAUGGGUGGAACCCAACUUGAUAAUCCAUGGAGCUUCUUAGCCUACUAUACAAGUUAUGGAUGAUUUACAUAAUCAACCCAUAUAUUUAAUUAGUAAUCUUUUGAUCACUUAAUUAAUUCUAAAUUUAUUCUUGAUCAAACUAGUUAUAUAAUAUUAUUAAUGUAUUAGAACUUAUAAUAUAUUAAUAAACCACAAGUGUUAUUUCUCUCAUUUAGUCUAUCCAAUUGCUUGGUGCCAUGCAACCCAAAUGGAGCAUGCCGGGUCGGGUCAAGUACAUACCAGAAAUAGUUAUGGACUUAAACACCUUAUCCAACAGAUACUACCUUCCACGUCUAUCCGUACUUUCCUCAACAAUUUCCUUGACUCCACCAAGUUCCUUACUCUACUACUAUUGCUCCCAACACUACUCUUAUCCUAGGCUUACCCUAGGGAAUCCACUAAACCACCCCGUCCACAGCUGCUGAAGGACUUCCGACCAAUAUCAUCUAACUACCUCAUGAAUAUAGUCACAUGCAGCAGAGAUCAGAUAAUCCUUCGACUAAAGGACUCAUCCCUAGAACGGUUAGACUCAUACGAGAGCUGCACAAUAGGGUCAAGUCCAGCACUCUGAGAUUAUCCAGCCUGUGCCACAUGUGACUUAGCAUAUUCAAUUAAUAUUUAGCUCAUAUUGCUAAGAGUCCCACAAAGCACAAAGCAAGCAACAUUCGGAUAAUGGAAAGCUAACCAUCAAUCAAACUGUUCUAUUCUCUACUCAGGAAACUGUACAAGCAUGCAAUUCAUGGAGAUCAUUCACAUAAAACAGGCACAUAAGGCAUCUUCCUAGAUCCCUAGUCCUAAUCUAGCAUGCAUUUCUCAUAAGCAUAACAUAGCAUAACAUAAACUUGUAUAGGUAUUUUGGGGUACUUACUUAAGCUCGGCUGAUUGCAUGCACCACACCCUUUUCUCUUUUUCAAAAUUCAUUUCCCUUUUCAAGUUCUUUUUCUUUCCAAAACUUUUUUCUUUUUCUUAAGUUCUUUUUAUAAAAAUGAUUUUCAUUUUGAAAAUUUUCAUACCAAGUCCUCAGUUUGAGUUCAGACACACCCGAGAGCGUGCCCGAAUCCCUCAAACCAAGGCUCUGAUACCAACUUGUAACGCCCCAAAAACACGAUCUCGAAUAUUUCUUUUUAAUUAAUUCAUAAACCAUAAUAACAGAUCAAAUCGUUCAUAAACAAGAGUUGUUAUAUCGAAUUAGAGUAUCAUCACAAAACAUAUUUUUUUAUCAGAGUAAACAUCCACGCUAAAAAUCCUUUGGUGUGUGUGCCAUGCGAUCACCCUGAGCUCUUCCCUCCGCUAUCGGAAGUACCUGAAACCAAAACUGAAAAUCGUAAGCACGAAGCUUAGUGAGUUCCCCAACCUACCACAUAUUGGGCCCCCGCCCGCUGCAUCGGGACUUUCCCGGCAUCGGACUAGCUCCGACAUCAGGUCGCGCCCGACAUCAGGCCCCGCAUGGCAUCGAGGCCCACUCGGUAUGCAUAUAUGUUUCUCUUAGGUCCCACUUGUCUCUGGGCCUCGCCCGCUAAACGCAUAUAAACAUAUAACAUAACACAUAAAAAGUAGCUAAUAUACUCUACCGUACUCCUGAUCUAAGGCCUCGCCUAACUAGGGCCUCGCCCCUGUCUUGCUACUAACGAAUCAUGGAACCCCAUCCAUGCUCCUGCUGAUAGUGAGAUACGGGCCCCUGCCCACACUCACCCUUCUCCUAUCUCGGGCCUCGCCCCUGUUCUACUACUAAUGAGAUACGGAACCCCGUCCAUACUCUGCUAGUGGUGAGACACGAGACCUCGCCCACCCUCACCUCCCUACUAGGCACUUACGAGUAUCACACAUACACAAGUAUAAAAUGUCAUACAAACAUUCCUCGGGCACUCGCCCGACAUCGGACAUUGAUCUGGAAUCACAUACUAGCAUAUAGUGCCUAGGGCUAACCCACGGGUCUUCCUACUCAUAAACUAUGUGGGUCGGCAUUGUGGCCUUAGACCCAUUCACAUAUUGAGGAGACUCACCUCCCGCUGUUGAACCCUGCUGAUACUCCUCUGGCUACUGACUCGCAAAUUCCCGAACUGCUGACCCUUCGGCUUACCCAACUACCAAUACCAAACACUGCUUAGUCCAAUACCUUAAUCCUUCUUAGGGUAAAAAUGACCAUUCUACCCGUAGUCCAACUUGGUCGAUAUCUAAGGACCAAACUAAGGCCCAAUACUAGGUAAGCUUCCUAAGACCACUAGUGUCCCACUAAUGGCCCAAUUUGCUAAAUCGGGCCCAAUCCCUCUAAUGAGCCUUACCUUAUGCCCAAAUAUCAUUUUGGCCCACAUCAUCUGACUUCUCCUGACCCACUAAGGCCCAAAGUCCAAAGCAUAUCCCAAUUCGAGGCCCAAUAACACGAAGCCCAAACUGAUAGAGUAUGCGGGGCGUACCCCACGUAUGCUAAGCGUACUAGGUAAGUGGUAAGUACUUUGGGCGUAUCUGCACGUACGCUCAGUGUAACCCCCUGUUAAGUCCUUCAUUCUAACUCCGUUUCUGAAAAACUUUAUAUCGACGAAACGGUGGCGAGAAGCCCUUCGCUUCUAACGACACAACUCGGCCCAAAAUUUCUCAAAUAAAAACUUUAAGACCCAUGAAAGACCGAAAUGCCCCUAGCCUCGGGCUCUGGAAUCCAAUAAAGGAUACUUUCAAAACAGGGUGUUACAUUAGCCCUAAAAGAUCAUGCAUAAAAGGAAAGCUCGGGAUUUUCCGUGUCUUACAGAUGAUAAAAUACUAGAUCUAGUAUAUUAUACCUUGGUUUAGGGUGUUAUGGCUUGUGGACCAAGAUUUAUGUCUUAAAGAAGUUAGGGUUUGGGUUAAACCCAUUAAGAAGGACUAAGGAUGGGUAAAGUUUGAAACUUUACCCUUAAGAGUGUAUACCCAAUAUGUAGACGAAGUUUGGAGCAUAGAUCUGAAAGGUAGGAGCUUAAUCCAUUGGGAUGGCUCAAUCAGACAGGGGAACUCGGUGAGUCCAGGGAAGGACUCGACAAGUUGAAGCGGGUUGUCCCGAUUAUUAUGAUAGAAAGAACUCGACGAGUCUAUAAAGGGACUUGACGAGUUGAAUCAAUCAGCCAUGGGUUUAAUCAUUACAGGGAUUCGUCGAGUUGGUAGAUAACUCGAUGACUUGGGUUGACUGGGAGUUGACCUUGACUUUGACUUUGACCAGGACGUUGACUUUGACCAGGGGUAAAAUGCUCAUUUACCCUAAGGAGGAUUAUCAUAUUUUGAUUAAGUGUUAUUAUGGAAUUGAUAGCCGGAGAGUCGCUAGAGCAGCAGAUAGGGAUUCCUCACUCGAGUUUUUAGCAGUUAUUAUGGAAUUGAUAGCCUAUUAUAUGUGUAUCAGCUUUAUAAGAAAUGCAUGCUAGUACAGAUCAGUCGGUAUGAUACUGUAACAUCCCGAGAUAUUACAGGUAUUUUCAAACCCUCUUCUAUCACUACUUUUUCAAUUAUAGCCCUUGGGAUUCAGAAUGUAGGUCCACGACAAGUUUAGGGGCCAAGUUUGCAAUUUGGGCCAAAAGGGAGGGUACGUUGCGCGUACAUAGGAGUAUGCUAAGCGUAUAAGGGUCCGCCUUAGUAUGCUUGGCGUACACUUGUGUACGCUGGACGUACUAGCGUCAGGAAUGAAAACCCUAAUAUUUAGGGUUUGGGGCCUAUAAAAGCAACAUAAUGUGCACCCACACCCCUUUAAGCUCAGCCUCCACAGAUCAAACUCGUCUCUCUAAAACCCUAGCCUCCCUUUGUGUGUUUAGCUCAUUUGGUGUGUUCUUGAGUGUUUAAGAGGAAACCAUUGCAUCAAAGAGUUGAAGGAAGUGACCAAGCUUGUAGAUCUGAAGUUAUUUCGUGCACAAGAAGUUGCAGAAGGUAUAAAGUUUCAAACUUUGUGCUUAUAUGUUUAGAUCUCCCUAUUUUGCUUAAGAGACCCAUUUCUUGUCCCAAAAACCACAAGGUAGUGCAUGUUGUGUUUUGGACGUAAAAGACUGUCCUUUUGGACUCUUGAAGGGACCUUGAGUGAUAAAAAUGAUGUCCUAUUAGCUGAUUGUGUCCCAUGCAUGGAAGGAUAAGGUGUUAAUGUAUUAAGACCAAGCAUUUAGAACUUUAUGGACGUCCAAAAUGAUAAAGUUCAUGACUUUAUGGAUCCUAGACAUGUUAGGCUUCUGGAUCUGAAGUUUAGGCAUAAGUACUUAAGCCAUUAAGCACUUAAUGAGGAUUUGGCAAAAUGUCCAGUACGCCGAGCGUAAAUCCAGUACGCCCAACGUAUUAGGUCAACCACCCCAAUGGUGGUCAGCGGUUUGGAUGAGUACGUCGGACGUACCCAGUGGAGUAUGCCCCACGUACGUCAUCUGAUGGGCCAUUGGUAAAUGGGUUUCGGGUUUUGGGCUGUUUAUGGACUAAAUGGAAUUAGGCCUUUGUUGGAAUUUGUAAAUAAGAUGUUUUGGAAUAAUUUGUAGUAGUGGAUCAUGGGGGGUUAGGCCUAAUAAGGAGGUUUGGCCCAAUUUAGUAAAUUGGCCCAAUAAUGGACUUGUGUAUAUGGAAUUUCAAUUUAAGGAAUUAGUGUAGGGCUUUGGCCCAAUAAAAAGAGGACGGACUUAAUGAGUUAUGAGGACACUUACUCAAGGGGAUAAUAUUAGGUAUUAACCUAGUAUUUAUUAUUAUGUGAUAGUUAGGGAUUCCCGGUGAGACAGCAGUCAGAGAUUUACAGUAUUUCAACACCAAUUACGAGGUUAGUUACCUCACUUUACUAAGGGGUCUAAGGCAGCAAGGCCGACCCAUUGGAUAUGUUAUCCUAGCAGUGUUAGUAAGUUGAGUAUGAAGUUAGUGUUGCAUACUACUGGUUAUGCCAGUUAGGUAGAUCUAUAGGACUACCUGUGUUAUUAUAUGAUUAUUUGCAUCCUCAGUGUUUGUGUUAUAUGUUGAUAUGUUAUGUGGGAUGGGUUGAGGUGAUACUGCUCCGUGCGGUAACCAAAAAACCCGAGAGCAUUCCAGAUACGGGCUAAGGUAGACUCGUAAUGUGGGCUCGGUGGCAAGCCAAAUGUGAGUUGUGGACCCGGAAGGCAAUCCAGACUCACACUGUGGGCCUAGGGGUAAUCAAGUCUGUAAAGCUGUAGACCCAUUGCAUGAUGUUUAACUUGUUAUGUUAUGAUGUUGUUGACAUGGUUAUGUGGAUUGUAUGUGUAUCGGUAUUUUAGAGGAACUCACUAAGCCUCGGGCUUACAGUUUCGGUUUAUUAUUUCAGAUACAUCAUGGGAUCAUGGUAAGGCGAAGGCAUGAUCAUACAGCUCCUCAUGUUUUGUUUAUGUUUCGGGGAAAACUCUGAUAUUUUACAUUUUGGAAAUGAAGUUGUAAUGAUUCAAAUGGUUUGAAAUGUCUUUUAAAAAAAUUCAAAUUUGGCUUGAAAUUUUGUGUGUUACAUAUAGCCAAAGUAGUAUACGCUUGAUUAUGUGUACUGAAUGCCCGAACGCAGCUUGCUUUGUGCUUUUAGGAGUUAUAGUUGUCUUUUGUUAACUAGUAAACAAAUAUUUUAAGUUUCAUAUUUUGAGGACUAAAUAAUUUCAGAAGGUUAGGUCUGGCUCUAUUUCGUAGCUCUUGUUUGAACCCAACCGUUGUAGGGUAGGGUCUCUCAUUCGAAGAAUUAUCUAUUCCGAGUGAUAUGUAAUAGUAUUCGUGAGCUAGUUAGGGGAAGAUGAUAGGGACUUCUUAUGCAGCUAAUGGCGGAGAGUGGCUUGGUGAUUACCCUAAGGCAAGCCUAGGACGAGAUUAGCGCGUGAAACAGUAGCAGUAGAAGGGACUUCGUGAAGUUGAGGCAGUACUUUAGGAAAGUACGGAUAAAUGUGGAACGUAGUAUGGGCACAUACUACUGAAAGCAGAGGAUCCGUAGUCAAAUCAAGGAAGGCUGAGAUAAAUCCAGAAACUUGUAGUAUGUAUGAUCCCUUGAGAUAUGAUUAGCAUACUGAUGUUUGUUAUGAUGUGUUUCGGUAUGGUGGUUUUAUGCCCUAGACUAGCAGUUGGCAGUUCAGGUGCCGGUGAGGGAUCAGGCUCAGGCUCUGGAGCUAAGCAGCUAGACGAGCAGACUAGGGAGUUCAUCUUCUCAGAGAUCACACGCAACAUACUAGACCAUACUCCUGUAAUCUUCGGCAUGAUCAAGGAAGGCAUACUGGAGCUUUUGGAUAAGAGGUUGAGUGCUUUGCGCACUGGGGUGGCAGCCAUGAUGGGGUCGCACACAUUGACUUUCAGGGAGUUCAGGGCUUGUGUAGCUCCCGACUACCAUGGGGCUCGAGACCCAUUGCAAGUACCAGAUGGUUGGCAGAUGUCGCCAAUGCAUUCCGCACUAGCAGAUGUCUCAAGGGGGACAAGGUCCAACUUGCGUCCUAGCUUCUGAAGGACAGGGCACGUGAUCGGUGGGAGGAGGUCAGACGAGCGAUUAGGGAUGAUACAGUUUUGGAUGCGAUGACCUGGGAUGACUUCACGACUAGGUUCAGGGCUGAGUUCACACCUGUUAUUGAGGUGCAACAGCUUGCUAGGGAGUUCCAGGAUCUCUAGAACACGACAGAGACAGUGAUAGAGAUUACCGCCAAGUUUAGAGAGAGGGCCGUUCUCGUUCCGCAAUAUGUGGCGGACAAGGAGAUAAAAAGGCAUGAUACCAGGAGAUGCUGAGGAGUGGCAUCAGACAGUUUGAGAGUCGGUCCAACUACAAGACGCUGGAAGAUAUGAUAGCGAGGGCUAGUGAGAGAUAGAUUGAUUUAGAGAUGGAGAGGAAGAGGAAGCCAGAGUCAAUGUCUGGUACAGAGGGCUCAGGCAAGAAGCCCAAGGUAGAUUCCCGUGGGAAGGGCCAACAGGGCCAAGGCCGCUGUGGCAAGUGUGGCAGGGGGCAUGAGGGGCCGUGUAGGGCGGACAGUUCACGCUGCUUCAAGUGCAGUCGAAAUGGACAUAUCAGCAGGGAUUGUACUGCUACUACCACCACCACUACAACGUCUGAUCUGAUUUGCUUUCAGUGCAAUCACAUGGGAAACAAGAAGUCCCAGUGUCCGAGUCUAGCAAUAGUAGGAUUGGUGGUGGCACCCGCUCCUACCACUUUGAGGAUUAAAGACGGCUGUUAGGUCUGGGCUGAGGCACCAAUGGCGAAGAGUAGAGCCUUCUAGUUGACAGUAGAGGAGGCACGUGCAUCCGCUGAUGUGGUUAUGGGUAUGUAUCUUCUCCAUUAUAUCUCUAUCAUUUCUGAUUAUUACUCAUGUUUGUAUGUUUGUCUAUUGGCUCGUUCUUAGUGAAUGACAUAUCAGCUAUGGUACUAUUUGAUUUUGGGGCUACUCGAUCUUUUGUGCCGCUCGCACUUAGCAAGUGAUUUAGUAGAGCUCCGGGCGAGCUGGAUUUCCCACUUGAUGUAGAGAUAGAAGAUGAUAGGACUGUCAAGGUUGCGAGGGUCUAUAGAGGAUGUACGCUACAGUUAUUCGAUCAGCAGUUUUCAGUGGAUCUGGUUCCUAUUCCCCUGUGUGGCGAUAAGGUUAUAGUGGGUAUGGAUUGGUUAAGCCCCAAUGUGGCAGUGGUUGACUACGAGUAGCAGUUAGUGAGGGUUCAUACUCCUAGUAGGCGAGAGCUAGUGAUUCAGGGCGAGAGGUCACAGCACGUACCGAUUCUCUAUUCAACAACGAGGGCGAGGUGCCACCUUUAGCAGUGUUAUGCAUGAUAUGUCACCUAUGUCAUGGAUUGCCCAGGAGAAGGGUAAGGCGACAGUUGAUGAUGUACCGGUAGUGCGAGAGUACCCGGACGUAUUCUCGAAGAAUUUACCUGGGCUACCUCCGGAAAGGUAGGUCGUUUUUAGGAUACACCUGGACCCUAGUGCAGCUCUGAUACACAAGGCACCAUAUUGGUUGGCUUCUCCCGAGAUGCAGGAGUUGUCUACGCAGCUACAAGAGCUGCUAGACAAGGGUUUUAUCAGGCUGAUCAGUUCGACAUGGGGAGCCUCGAUCCUGUUUAUGAAGAAGAAGGACGGGUCACAUCGCAUGUGCAUAGACUACCAGGAGCAGAACAACGUAACGAUCCUGUUUGUGAAGAAGAAGCAUGGGUCACAUCGUAUGUGCAUAGACUACCGAGAGCAAAACAAGGUAACAGUGAAGAACCGUUACCCACUUCCAAGGAUAGAUGAUUUGUUUGACCAGCUUCAGGGAGCAUAUUGGUUCUCCAUGAUUGAUCUACGGUCAGGGUAUCACCAGAUGCGAUUCAAGGACGAUGAUGUGCAGAAUAUGUGACAUCCCCAAUUUCUCGACCAGAAAAGACCUAUUUAUUUAUGCUUGUUUUUAAAAUCAGAGUAAUCUUUUAAAGAAAACAGUUGCAGAAUUUGUUCCCAAAAUAUGAUAAAGAUUUAUCAAAGCAUUUCUUUAAAGAAAUGUAUUUUCAUUAUAUAACAAAAUCUCGGGAUGUCAUGUUCCGAUACAGACACAUAAGCAUAAACAAAACUUACAUUAUUUACACUAAAGAUUUUACAUCUCCUUUAAUCUCUCCAUGAAAUAUAUCUUUGUAUCGAUACAUGUGAUACAAAGGAAACUGAGUGGGUCAGGCUUGGGAGCCUGGUGAGCAUAUAGACUUUUCAUCCCACAAUGUUAUAUCAUAUAUUUAUAAAUAUAGAACAUUCAAACUUGUACAAUUUCACCAUAUAAAGGCAACUCUUAUCCCACCCCAUCGAUCCUCACAACGACACGAUCUAAAGUCUCGUAUCUAAAAUUUUCCUCUUUACCCGAUCCCUACUCACGGAUCUAAAACUAUCCUCUUCACCCGAUCCAUACUCACUGUUGAGUUGAAUAACUCUUUGAUCGUUUACAUCCUAAACAGGUUAAUCACAAAAACGUAAACAGAAAUAUUAAACACAAGAGUGAAUCAAAAUACGUCGAAUGAUUCAAUAGAUUCAAGCCUCAGCAGAGCUCGACAAAGAACUUCCGCUGUAGGGGCUACUAGGGUUACAAACGAUAAAAAGAAAUAUCUAUGAAUGAUCGACUCCAAAAAUCUUACGUACUAAGAUGCAUGCAAGCAUCUAUAAAUACUAAACCCUAGAAAAUAACUCACGGAUGGACAGGCCCAAUCCGGAAACAAAAUUAGACUAAUAAACGAGCCCAAGACGCAACACAUAACGGACCCUACCAUCUCCCCCUUUGCGUCAAAUGGAGCGAGAUCUUACUUCGGCUUGCUUGGUCCAGCUGCAGGAACUUUCUUUGUGGUUUCGAACAGACGAGGAAUGAGGGCAAGGAUGGUUUGUCUGAAGCAAAUGUACCAUUGGAUCAUAUCAUCGAAGUAUUUCUUGUCAUUACCAGAGUUCUGCUUGCAUCGAUUGAUGAUCCCCAGAACAUGUUCCAAGCACGCAGUGGUGUAUAGAUGCUUGUCUGCCAAGGCGAACAGGAAUUUUUGGCCUUCGUUCCUUGUGAACAUGACUGAGUUCCGCUUUGGGUCAAUCCUUCCCAUCUGCAUUUUAUUCAGAUCGCUUGCAGAGCCAACAGGAGAGAUGGUGGGCUUUUUCUUGAAAAUACUUGCGAUCUCCUGAUCCAUCUUGGCGACCUCCAUGAUGUAGCAAACUAACAUCCUUUUGAAGUGAUCUAUGAUUGGCCCAUAUUCAGCUUCGUUGGUAAGAAGGAUGUUGUGCAAGAUGAUCCAAUCAUGUGGAUUCAGGUUGGGAAGAUCAGCAAGUGAAAUAGCAUGUUCUGUUUUAGCAGACCCCCUCGACACUUUGAAUCGAACGUUUGUGAAGUUCCCCUCCUGAAAAGGUUUAAGGACCCGAACGUUUAUGAUCUUCUGAGCACUCCAUGUCUGGUACUAAGGCUGAGCAGACCUCAGAUAGAAUUCAACGAGCUCCCCAUCAACCUUUGGGUGAGGAUGAGGGACAUCAGCAGCAUGGGAGAAAGCAUGAAAUAUGAAGGCCUUUCGGGUCAAAGGCAUAUCAAACUGAGAGUCGACGGAAUUGAUCCUAUCCAAGGAAAUCACCGGUUCGAGCCAUAGGAUGCUGGGAGUAUCAAUAGCUUCUUUGAUGAGCUUCUCAAGAGUCCACGGAGGAAAUAGAGUUUUUCGACUCUCAAGAAGAUCAUGAGCCUCCUUCAUUUUUCUUUCGUUCGCCUUGGCCUCUCUGGCAACACGAGCACUCAUAUCUGAGUCCUUUUCCCGGCCUUGUUUCUUCAAGAGAUCAGCGAUGGUCUCUUUAUCAUCAUCACCAUCACUGUCUUCAACAAUCUUCUUCCCUUUAUCUUUAGCACCCGAACCUGAAGCUUGACCUGUUGGAGGAGGUUCGGUUGCUUUAGUUGAUGUAGAAGUAGGAGGCGGUUGAGACACAUCUUCUCCCCUUUGUUUUGGAUGGGCCACGAACUCAGGAAGCCCUACAAUUUUGCUGAGUAAGGCAAGGGCGGGAGCAAGCUUCUCAGCUAGAGUGCGCCUCACAGAAUAGUUCAGGAUGGGAUCAUGUGCUUCAAUAAUGUUGGAGAGGGCGGCGUAGACAUCCAAAACACACGUGGAAAUGACCGCUCGCUCAGAUCGGAGAGAUGCAACCUCCUUUUCUAAUUGGAAAAGUUGAAGACUCUUGACCUUUAGAGCAGUGGUUUUGCGAGCAAGAGCAUCCAUCACGGAGUUCUCUGAAGCAAGAUCUUCUUGCAGCUUUGUCAAGCGCUCCUCAACAGUCGCCUAGAAGGUUUUAUUGUCAGCUUCAAGAGACUGACGAAGACUGGCAAAGAAUUGUUGUUCUGAUGCAAAUGAAGUGGUCAGCUUGUCGACAAGAGAGUCAACCUUCGUUGCGUUGGAUUCAGCGGCUCACUGUAAAGACUGUAAAAGAUUGUUAGCAUCGACAAAUAGUUUUUCGACUUUUUCGGUCGCAGCAACACACGCCUUGGUAGAUGCGUCGAUAGCAGCAGUGGCGGAGUUUAUUGAGGCGUCAUGUGCCUUGGUGAACGAAUCAACUAGCCCCUGAAUGGCAGCCUCUGAGAUAGUGGCCGAGAGGAAGAGGAGGAAGCGAUGAGACUGUCGAUUUUCUCAUGAAAUUCCUUGAGAUGCUUUUUAGUGACAGGAGCAUCCUCGUCAUCAUCACUUUGAACCUAGUACGGACUAUAGUAGACCAAGUCAAAAGUCAUGUCUUCUCCUCCAAGAAAAUUCUCGUCAUCGGCUGAGUGAUUGGGAGAUGAAGGCGAAGGUGUAGGUUCGGUUGUGGGAGUAGGUUCGGGUGUGGAAGUAUGUUCAGUAGCAGGUGUGUGUUUGGGUGCUGAAGUAUGAGCCCCCAUAUUAGAUACGUUGGUUCGAACUCUAGUAGUGGUUGUUGUUAUAGCUUUUGAGAAAAUAGGAGGUGGUACAGGGAUAGAGGUGGGUGGUAUAUGAGUAAUGGAGGUUAUGGGGGGAAUGGAAAUAGAGAUGGAGAUUGGGGGAGGAGAGACAGGUUUAAAUGAAACAGGUACCUCAGGAGAAGGCGAACGGGGAGGAGUGUUACCUCGAAGCAACUCCUCUGAGUUUGAACUGUCAUCCUCUGAUUCACUGGAGGAAGAGGUAAGAAUUAGUUUGCGCCUGGGCUGGGUUUUCCUCUUCUUUGGUGGAGGUGAUUGAGCUGCCUUCGAAGUUUUUCGCUUCUUUGGAGAAGGACCAUUCGCUCCUUUGACAACCUUCUUGUCUUUCCCCUUGUCUUGUUUCUUGCCCCUAGGAGCAGGCUUGUCAGCGUCGUGUAUAGAUUGAAUCAUUUCUGGAGUGAGCUCUCUGGGGCCUGAAUGAAGAAUAUCCUUGUAAGUCUUGAUGAUGCGACUAUCCCUUGGAACACAUGCAUACAUUGACUCAGGGAUUGAGCCAACGAAUUGAAACUUGGAAGAAUCAGUCACAAUGAUCUUCGUUAUGUGGAAAACACCGAUUGAGGAGAGUGGAGAAUUAGCAACUACAGGGACAUGAUACUUGUCCAUUGCCCACUUUGUGACCAGUGUCCAGAAUCUGGCAUAAGAAAUCUCAGAAUGGCGAGAAGUAGAGGCAAGACUUUGGAUCAACUGCUGCCAUAACACAGAGCCAUAGUCAAGAUUAAGGCCGUGGUAUAACCCAUAGAGAAUCGACAUAAACAAACGGCUAGCCCCGUUAGAACCGGUACUUUUUCUGACAAACCCUUGAACAGAACCGUGAAGAAGCCAUUCCACUGUGGAGGAAGACAGGAUUUCUUGAACUUUGUAACUGUAGUUAGAAUCUCAGUAUAUCCCAUGUUGUAAAACAUGGAGAACAACUGUCCCACAGGAAUAGACUCAGGGUUAACCCUUGACUCAUCAGGUUCGAACCCUACUAGCAAGCAGAAUUGUUGUUUGGAGAUGGAGGUUUUAGUAUCAAGAAUGUCGAAGAAAAUGCGAUCGACAGACUUGUCAUAGUGGGCAGUUGAGAAGAUCUGCGACAAACACUCCAUUGGAACAAUUUCAACCUUGGUUAAUGCUAGAACCAGUGGAGAGUGUUUAAGACUCUCCACAAUUGGGAACAUGAAGGCGUUGUAGGCAUGUGUGGUGAGAUCAAUGAUCAGGCUUUGCUGAGGUUGGAUAGGCAGAAUGUGGGAGGUUUCGCGAAUAGAAGAAGAAUCCGCCAUUGAAGAGUGUUGUGGAGAAGAAGAUGAACAGUGGGAGAAAGUAAUCGUUUCUUGCUCUCUGAAUUUUGGGUGCAGUAAAGAGGUAAAAGACCUUAGGGUUUACCCUUUAUACCGUGUGUAGAGGAGAGAGAAGAAUCCGCCCCCAAAUUUUCUUGAAAAUCUAAGCGUUUCCUGAGUUGAUUGACACGUGACAGUUUAGCAACCCCUAUGAUUACGCAUGAGAGAGAAAAACUCUUUCAUUUUGCAUGCUUUCCCAUCAAAUACCCUUUUGAAUUCCUGAACCUACAAGCUCUCGACUGAGUCAACAGUUUAUCCUUAAAAUUAGCUGUCUACACUAAAUAAAAGUGAACACAUGUAGCAUUAACAACAACAUCCCAUGUAGAAUAUACCAUUAAAUCCCUGAGCCAAAAAAAUAGCUUGUAAAGAAGGAAACCAGAUUUUUGGAAAAUCAAAAAGAUUUUCGUGCAUAGAGUGUCAAAGAUAAAGAAAUAAAUCAACAUAUUUGAGGGAAUUUGUGAUGUAAACAAAGACACAAAACUGUGGAUCCCGGGCACGAAUCUCUUCCUUCAAAGUCAAGAGAGACCUUAAAGUGUUUGUGUGGUUUCCCGUUGAAUUACGAUCAAUCCCUAGUUAAGAAGUGUUGAGAGGCAUCUUUUAAUAAGGCUUAUUUGGGAGGCUUUCGCUUUAGUUCAGAAUUCCUGAUCUUGACAUAAGACAAAAAUCGACUGAAAAACUUGUGAGACCAAUGUGGUCUAUUGAACAAAUAGGUUUGGAUAAUGUGUUAGUGACAAGUUGGAAAUACUAGGUGUGAAAUCUCAAGAAAAUUAAAAACUGGAUUCUAAGGGAAGAAAUGUUAUGGUAUGUAACAAUUUCAUAAGAAUCACACAAAGAGAAAAUUAGAGGUUUCAUGGUACAACCACUUGGGUGGAUUCGUUAAUUCAUAAGUGAAAACUAGAGAAAAUUUAAUUGUUCACCGUCAAUGCAUAGUAGGUAUUGAAUUGUGGGUUUCACUUAGCACGUAGUGACAUGAAGCUAAGAUCACAAACACAGAGAUGGUGUAACCAUAAACCUCAGUGGUAAUUUCUGAGAGUCUCAAGGGUUACUUGUAUGAAGCGAAUAUGAUGGAGAAAAAUAUUUGAUGUGGUGUAAAGAAACCAAAGUACCUCUGCUAUAAAAAUAGUGACCAACCAGAAAACUCUUAACUCAUAUGAGAAAAGAGUAAGGUAGCUCAUGAUUAGAAUAAAUGUAGUAGCCUAAUUGGGAAGACAAGGUUUUUAUAUACCAAGUCAGUAAGGCUUUAUUCAGAAUCAGUUGAGGCUGUGGACAACAUGCAACAGCAUGCUGCUAGGGACACUUAGCUAUUAAAAAGUGUGAGAAUGAUACCUGCCCCAUCGACAAUCCAUAAACGGUGAAUACAAACAGAAGUAGAGACAAAAAGAAAAAGAAAAUAUUUUUGGAGUUUUUGAUAAUUUGGUAAAGAGAAAAACAAAAAAAAAACAAACCAAACAAAAAAAUUUGGAACCGAACCCGAAAUGGACCAAACGCUCGGUUCAUUUCGGUUCGAAAAAAAAAUUUUGGAAUUUAAAAUUUUUGGAAAACAAAUGUAGAAAAUUUUACAACCAAAGAUACCACCUUUUUGAGAUAAGCAAAAACAAGUGCAAUGGGACCGAACCCAAAAUAGACCGAGCGUUCGGUUCAUUUCGGUUCCCAUGUGAACCGAACCCGAAAUAGACCGAACGUUCAGUUCAUUUCGCUUCCAACUUUUAGUUUUGAGAAGGUGUUUUCGUACUGACUCCGAUUCCAUCAUACCUAGGCCUUGUAGGAUUUUAUUGAAACUUGCUUCAGGAAGGGCUUUGGUGAAGAUGUCGGCCAGUUGAUCAGUGGUUCGAACAAAGUGAAUUUCUACGUUUCCAUCUUCCACAUGAUCCUUAAUAAAGUGAUACCUCAGUGCUAUAUGCUUGGUCUUGGAAUGUUGCACUGGGUUAUGACAGAUCCUAAUUGCACUUUCUGAGUCGCAAUAUAGUGGGAUCUUUUUCAUAUUGAGUCCAUAAUCCCGGAGUUGGCUUUGGAUCCAAAUCACUUGAGAUGUGCAGGAGGCGGCUGCAAUGUACUCUGCUUCGGCUGUAGACAGAGAAACACAUGUUUGUUUCUUAGAUUGCCAGCUCACCAACUUCUCGUCGAGGAAUUGACAGCCUCCUGUAGUGCUUUUUAGGUCUAAACCACAUCCUCCUAGGUCUGCAUCAGAGUAGGCUUGCACAAAGAAACUUGAUUUUGAGGGAUACCAGAGACCGAGAGAGGUCGUUCGCUUCAGAUACCGGAAUAUGUUCUUUACUGCCAACAUGUGUGGUUCACAAGGGUUUGCUUGAAACCUGGCACAAUAGCACACUGAAAACAUUAGAUCAGGCCUGCUAGUUGUGAGGUACAUCAGGGAACCAAUCAUUUGGCGAUAAAGCGUUAUGUCAACUGUCGGUUUUUCCAAAGAUGGUGUGAACUUGGUACCGAACGCCAUUAGGACUUUGACCUUGGAGUCUCCCAUCAUGCCGAAUUUAGCAAGGAGAGUCUUUGUAUAUGCUUCCUGGUUGAUAAAGAUGCCUUCGGGUCCCUGUCUAAUAUUUAAACCAAGGAAAAAGUUAAUCGGACCCAUUGAGCUCAUUUCAAAUUUAGUCUCCAUCAACUUUCUGAAUUCAGCUGUUAGGCUAGGAUUCGUUGAGCCAAAGAUGAUAUCAUCGACAUAGAUUUGAACGAUCAUAAGGUGGUUACGAUGCCCUAGGUGCUUGCUUCAGACCAUAGACAACCUUAUCUAAGAUGUAGCAGUGAUCUAGAUGCUUUUCAUUCACAAAGCCAGGAGGUUGCUCCACGUACACUGUUUCUUCAAGUUCCCCAUUCAAAAAGGCGCACUUCACAUCCAUCUGGUAGACCAGCAUAGGCAAGAAAUAUUCGAACAGAUUCUAACCUUGCUACUGGAGCGAAUGUCUAUUCGUAAUCAAUUCCUUCUUGCAGGUAACAUUUCCCUCCUUGUCCAUUUUGUUCCUGAACACCCAUUUGAGACCGACAACCGAGGCAUCUUUUGGUGUUGGAAUGAGUCUCCAGACUUUAUUUCUUUCGAACUCAUUGAGUUCGUCUUGCAUUGCCUGGACCCAAUCAGAGUGAUCAAGAGCAAUAUUGACGGUCUUCGGCUCAAUUUUGGAGACGAAAGAAUUGAACAUGCAUAAUUCUACUUUAGAGAAUAAAGCAGUUUGCUUCGCCUUCAGUUGUGACUGUGUUAGAACCUUUUCUGAUGCGCCAUCCACUAUUUGAGAUACAGGAUGAUCUCUAGUCCAUUUGGUGAGAGGAGGAUAAUUUGGAUCGUAGGAUGGAUCCAACUCAGCAUUUACCAUUUCUUCCAACUCUGAUUGAACAUCAUCGUCAUAAAGCGUAUCAGAAUUCUCCCCCUCGACAGAUGACGAAUCAUUUGGAUGUGAACCAAAAAUUCUUUCUUCAACUGGGCUUUCGGGCGGAUCCAGACUUUCUGUUGUCACUGGACUUUCGGGUGCAUUUGGGCUUUCCGGUCCAGCGGGGCUUUCGGGUGCUACAGGACUUUCGGGUGCAACCGGGCUUUCGGGUGCAGUGGGGCUUUCGGGUGCUACAGGAAUUUCCGGUCCGACAAAGAUUAGAUUCUCCCCUGGAAAUGUGAGUCCAUUUGAUUUGAAUAGAAUUGAUUCUCCUCCUCGACCGAAGUACUGCUCUGGGGAGGUUCGUUUCGAACUGGUUCUCCUUCUCCCAUUUGUUUGGCUGCAUCUUCGAUAAUCUGCUUAAGGUGAUCGAUCUUGUUGUCUGCUGCCUUGGCUUCCGAAAGAGUGGCUCUCUCAGGUUCAUCAAAUAAGUCCAAGAACUGGUCAAAUAAAUUGGCGAUUGAGGCUGUGACUUGACCUGUUUGAGAGAAAAUCUCUCCAAUUGCUGCAUCAGUAGACUUUAGCAUUUUGACGUAAUUGUCAUCGAACGUCACAUAAUAGGUUUCUUCAAUUCUUUUAGAAUGCUUAUUCAAAACCCUGUAUGCCUUUGAAGUAAGAGAAUAUCCCAGAAAGAUUCCUUCAUCAGCAUUAACAUCAAACUUGUUGUGAUGUUCUUUGGAGUUGAAGAUGAAGCACCUGGAACCGAACACGUGAAAGAACUUGACAUUCGGCUUCCUGUUGUUAAUAAUCUCAUAAGGAGUGAGAGAGAAACGCUUGUUGAGAUAAAACCUAUUCUGAGUAAAACAUGCUGCAACAAUAGCGUCAGCCCAGAAAUAUAGGGGAAGAGAAGCAAAACUCAGCAUGGUUCGGGCCGCCUCGCAUAGGGAUCGGUUUCGCCUUUCGACAAUUCCAUUCUGUUGAGGUGUAUAGGGGGCUGAGAAAUUAUGACCGGUGCCUUUUUCAGUUAAGAAAUCUUCAAGUUCUUUGUUCUUGAAUUCCAGUCCAUUGUCGCUCCUGAUGUUUCGAACGACUUUCCUCAGUUGCACUUUGACUUGCUUGAUAAAGAUCUUCAGCUUAGGAGUCGCCUCAGAUUUGUUCUUUAGAAAGAAUACCCAAGUAAACCAUGAGAAGUCAUCAACAAAAACAAGGAUAUACUUGUUACCGCCAAUGCUCUCGAUUGAUGAUGAACCACAUAAGUCGAUGUGAAGCAACUCAAGCGGUUCAACAAUUUUGGUGUUUAUGAUGGUUGGGUGACUUUGACGACUUUGUUUUCCCAUUUCACAUGCAACACAUAAGUGCUCUCGAUCGAAGUUAAGCAAUGGAAGACCCCGAACAUGACCACCGGUGACAAGCUUGUUGAUGUCUUUGAAGUUGAGAUGUGAAAGCCUUCGGUGCCACAACCAACUUUCGUCUGAAUGAGCUUUGGACAAAAGACAUAUGGUUGGAUUACCUUUGAUUGGUCUGAGAUUCAGAGGGAACAUUCACCUUUUCGAUCUGAUUUGAGAAUGACUUUAUUGGAUUUCUUCUCUAUAAUUUCUGAACCUUCGUCGUCGAACGAGACUUUGAGACCGGUAUCUCCAUUGGUUAUCAUCCCAUAACCCUUUAUUGUUCCAUAAGAGUUGUUACCGAACUUGACAUUGCCACCAUUUUGAAGUGACCGAAACUCCCUAAGCUCUUCCUUCCUUCCUGUCAUGUGACGUGAGCAGCCACUGUCUAUGUACCAUUCGUCAUCAAACUGCUCGUCACUAAUAACCUGCAAAAAUUAGGCAGAUUUAGGAACCCAAAGUUUCUUGGGUCCACGUGAGCCUUUUACAGAAACAGGAAUAGUAAGAGAAACAUCAACGAGAUAUGUUCGUUUUAUUAAGGUUGUUUCAUCUUUCCUUUUAAUAGUAAACACUUUGAUUUUAUUAGAAUUAGACGCAGGUAUUUUGGAUUCAGGUUCUGGUGUUUGGACUUUAGCCUGCUUUCGGUCUUCAUUAGCUGAGAAAAUCUUCAUUUUUCCUUUCAAAUCCUUUGACGAUCUUGCAUUUGGUGUAGGACCAGACUUAGGCUUAGAAGAAGAUUGAGGAUGAGAAGAAUUAGAGGAAAAGAAAUUAGAAUGAGAAUCUUUCCUGACUUGAGGUUCGAAAUGACCCUUUCGGUUGUGGUCAUUUGAGGGACCGAACCUGGACCUUCGGUUGUUGUUUGAAGAUGAACCGAAGCUGGAUUUUCGGGUGUUGUAGGUUGGUGGCCCGAAACUGGGUCUUUUAUUGUAAAAGCUUGACAGGCUGAAAUCUGGUAUUUUCCUGUUGUUGUUUGGUGGACUGAAACCAGCUUUUCGGUUGUUGUUGCUUUCGGGACCGAACCUAUCCUUUCGGUUUUGUUCUUCCUGUGGCCCGAAAGUCUUCCUCUGGUUCUUUUGAAUCGGUUGUUCGAAGUUCCUUUUACUAUUGUUUUCUUCUCCUUUUGACUUAGAAUUGUUGUCAAAGUGAGUGUAGUGAGGAUUUUGGGAGCGCCAAAACUGCUUUCGCUCUGAGAGAUUUUUCUUGUAUCUCAGGUUUCUUUGCUGCUUUUGAUUUUUCACCUGUUUCGGUUGUAUGUGGAUAUUUGCCUUUUGUUUCAGCUUCGUAGCAACAGGUUCACUCUUCAUGGAAGAGGUUUCGCUAGUUGAGGUGACUUCUUCCACUGGAAUCUCUUUUGUGCCACUGGAACUUGGUACGUCAAAGUUGGUAGGCUUAUUCAGAGGUUCGGGCACAUAUCUACCUUUGGCCUUCCAUGAUGUUCGCUCCUACAAACCGACUAUUUCAUCUGCGUUAUCUAUCGGUGCAGACCAGAAAAACUCAUCACAGCCAUCUGCAUUAUCUUCAUUCACUAUGGCAGUGAGUUCGGCUGUCUGAUGUUUGGUUACUCCUGUGACCUUAUAUACCUGAUUGGGAGUUGUUCUAACCUUUUGAAACACAAUGGCCUUUUCUUUAAGGAUUGGGGACUUCAUUUUGGACAAACGAGCGAAUUCCACAUAAUUUUCAGAAAUUAGGUUUUUGUGGUUUUCAGGUUCGCUCCUAAUGAACUCGGAACAGUCAACUUCAUCCCUACAGAAAUUUCACUCAUGUCAUCGUCCUCAUUAAGUUCAGAUGCAUUUUCAACAUCAAUUUUAUUUUCUGAACUCAAUUUGGUACUCAGUGAGUCAAAUUUUUGUAUGGUUUCGGCCUUGAGUUUCAACUUAUCAUUUUCAUCCAAAAGAUUUUUAAGCAUGUCCUUAUGGUCUUUGUACUUUAUAAAAGAUUCAAUUUUGUCCAGACUAUAUAUAUAAGUAGGAUUGACAUCAUUAGAAGAUACAACACUUUCACAGUUGUAUGCUUCGGCAUCGAUUUCAUCCUCCUUAAACUCAAGGAAGGGUAAAAUCAUGCGAUGUAUCUUCUGUCCUAUUUCACAGUUUAAAUGCAGCUGAGUAAUGUUAGCAUAAAGCCUUUUGGCAAUUAAACAAAAAACAUUCCUCUGUUUUAAUAAUUUGAGAUUGUCUCUUUGCAAAUAAAUGUUCUCAUCCCUAGACUUAACCAGCUCCAACUCUUUCUUCUCUAUCCAAAUCCUUCGCUCCUCACUCUUGGAUGACACCCUGCUUAUUUGGUCAGUUAGAUUAGAAUUCGUGACCCGUGUUUGAGUUAAACAACUAUCUAGAUUUGAAAUUCUUGAAUUCAAGUUAUUUAAUUCCUUUUCAUAUGAUUUUUGUGGAAUUUUAAAUGAAAUAAAAAUAGAUUGUACCUUCUUGAUCAGUUCAUCUAGCUCACUGAUCUGCACACUGAGAGGUUUCGCUGUAAAGCACAAGUCCUCUCGCUCCUUAGCCUCUUCGUUUCCACCAUCAGUGUUGUAUCCCCUCAUCUGACAUACAUCUGUCACCAUCAGACAUCUUCCAUCAGCUUCACCACUCUUUGCUACAUAAGCCUUUCCAUGAGAAGGCUUUCUCACUUCAUCAUCUUCUGAGUCAGUCGACCACACCUGCAUGCCACCGAACUCAUCAUCAUCUACCGAACCCUGUACAAUAAGAGCAUUCAUAGAGGGAUUAGUAUUAGCUUUCUUCCUCUUAAUCUCCUCCAGUCUUUUUAGGAGACUUGCUUCUUCAUACUUCUCUUCAUCUUUCUCUGCCAUCUUCUUUAGCAUGCAAUCUUUUGCGUAGUGAUUUUUCCCACCAUAGUAAAAGCAACUGACACCAGAGUUAGCUUCACCCUUCGCUUCCUUCUUUGAUUCUUUAAGCUUCGGCUCCUCUUCACUUUUUNUCUUUCACUUUUUCAGAGCUGUAGCUUCCCUGCCAAUUUCGAUUUUUGUUGGUAGGGAACUUUUUCUUAAUGAACCUUCUGGGAUUUGACACCAUCAUAGCAUAGUCUUCAGCUGUCAAAUCGUGAUCUCCCAGAUUUAAAUCCUCUUCGUCUUUUGAUGCACCCUUACCUUUGGACAGAAGCGCCAAAGACCCCAAAUUUGAAACCACGCUUUUCUCUUGUAGCAUUGUCUUUUCCUGGGAUUUCAGAAUCCCCACCAGUUUCGCCAAAGAGUACGAUUUGAACUGUUCGUGUGCUUUAACCGUUGACACAACAGCUCUCCAUUCGGAUCUUAGACCAUUCAGGAAAGUGACCUUCUGUUCAAUGAGCUUCCUUUCAAUAUCAUGUUUGCUCAUCUUGCUGAGAAGGAGAUUGAAACGAUCAAAUGUUUGCGUAACAACCUCUUCUGGCUUCUGCUUGAACUCUCCAAAUUCAGAGAGAAGUAAGGUCUGAAUUGAGUGCUCCAGAUCUUCAUCUAUGGAAUAUAGCUCUCGCAGCCGAUCCCAGAUUUCCUUUGCUGUACUGCAAGAACUCACCAAUCGAAACGUGUCAGAUUGAAGAGUGAAUCGAAUUAGUCUCAAUGCCUUAAUGUUGCAUUGAAACUUCUCCUUUUCGUCCUGAGCGACGUCUUUCCAGUCUUUCAACAAAUCAUUGUACUCCUUUUGAGUUUUAAUGAUUCUAGAUGUGCCUGAAUGAGCAAAAAGGCCAGAUAUAAUAGCUUCCCAUAUCAGAUACCCAUUAUCUUCAGAUCCAAUAACGUAGUCUUCAAAGUGGUGCGUCCACUCUUCGUAGUCUUGAGUGUAGAGAAUUGGAAUCUUGGUUGUUGAUCCUAUACUGUUAGAGAUGUUAAUAGUAUUGGAUUGAGAAUCGUCCAUGCUUGAUCGUUUAACCUGUUAUAAGAUCAGACUUUGUAAUACGUAAUAUUAGGGCAAGGUGAAUAAUUAGUGAGAUACGUCAAUUAUGGAGCGACAGCUCAAUAAAUAUCAAUGAAUGUGGAAUAAACCCUAAUAACUUCUUUCACAGAAGAGAUGUGUAUGAAUUACACAGUCUCCUGCUCUAAUACCAAUUGAUGAGUUGAAUAACUCUUUGAUCGUUUAUAUCUUAAACAGGUUAAUCACAAAAACAUAAACAGAAAUAUUAAACACAAGAGUGAAUCAAAAUACGUCGAAUGAUUCAAUAGAUUCAAGCCUCAGCAGAGCUCGACAAAGAACUUCCGCUGUAGAGGCUACUAGGGUUAUAAACGAUAAAAAGAAAUAUCUAUGAAUGAUCGACUCCAAAAAUCUUACGUACUAAGAUGCAUGCAAGCAUCUAUAAAUACUAAACCCUAGAAAAUAACUCACGGAUGGACAGGCCCAAUCCGGAAACAAAAUUGGACUAAUAAACGAGCCCAAGACGCAACACAUAACGGACCCUACACUCACGGAUCUAAAACUAACCUUUUCACCGGAUCCAUACUCACGGAUCUAAAACUAACCUUUUCCCCUGAUCCAUACUCACGGAUCUAAAACUACCUGAUCCAUACUCACGAAUCUCUAACUAACCUCCUGAUCUGAUCCAUACUCCCAGAUCAAUAAUUGUACCCAAUCCAUACUCCCAGAAUAGGGACAAUUAACAAUACCUUAAUCCUGAUCUGAUCCAUACCCCCAGAUCAAUAAUUGUGCGCAAUCCAUACUCCCGGACUAGGGACAAUUAACUUAUUCUUAAUCCAUACUCCUUGACUAAUAACAAGUUUUAUCUCUUUAUCUGAUCCAUACUCCCGGAUCUAAAACUAACCUCUUGGUCUAAUCCAUACUCACGGAUCUAAAACUAGCCUCUUGAUCUGAUCCCUACUCACGGAUCUAAAACUAACCUCUUGGUCUAAUCCAUACUCACGGAUCUAAAACUAGCCUCUUGAUCUGAUCCCUACUCACGGAUCUAAAACUAACCUCUUGAUCUCAUUAUCCAACUCAUCCUUUUAUCACACACCAACUAUCUCACCUACCCAUGUUCUACCCAACAUAUUUGUAGAUAUAAAAUACAUAUACAGUUUAACAAAUUUAAAAACUAUAUAAAACAUCCAUUCCACACUCAUCUCAAAUAAACAACAAUAUAUAAACACAUAGCACGUAUUUUAUAACAAAUACUUCAUAUUUAUGUGUUAAAAGAAAGUAACCACACACUUACUUGAUCAGAAGAUGAUCGGGCAAUGCCUCGUCUCUUAAAAUAAUCUUUUGCGAUGAAACCGGGAUGUUUUCCUCCAAAACCAGGCUUCAUGCGGGCAGAGCUUCGGCUCGGGAAUCUUUCUUCUCGGGAUCUUCAGGCUUUGGGACUAGCUUCGGGUCUCGGGAAUGACAUCGGGGCUUCAGGGGGUUAAAAUAGGGCUUAGAGAGAGUAUCGGGAGUGGGAAAGUAAGAGAUGAACAACCCAAAUCGGCUGACCCUUGAAUUCUAUUUAUAGGGAAAAAAUGCUUAACUCACCUCGUGAGUGUUUAAUUCUCACCUCGUGAGCUUGCUCACCUUGUGAGUUUAUAAUAUUCACCUCGUGAGGUCAAUAUGUCAUUGCGUUCAUCAUGGCCACUUGCCCUGGAAGACGUCCAGCAUCUGCUCACCUCGUGAGCCACUUAAUGCUCACCUCGUGAGCUCUGACAGGGAUGGAAGUUCAUGCCCCAAACUUCAGAAAUUCAUAUCUUUCACAUACGAGCUCCAUUCUCGACGUUCUUUAUAUCCACAUGUAGGUAAAAACAAUAUCUACAACUUUCAUUUAGACUUUGUCGGCUAAUUUUGACUUUCAUUUUAAUAUAUUAUUAAUAUAUUAUUUUUAGUAUGCCGGGACACGAAAACUCCGUUCAAAAUUUAUAACUCCUUCAUCUGAACUCCGUUUUCGUCUGUCUUUUUAUCGUUGCACUACCAUUGAUGAGAUAUUAGAUUCUCAUUUAGAUUGUUUUGGCUAAAAACCGCUCGAUCUCAAAUUGAGUAUUCGGGCUGCAUACCGCUAAGUCGAAACUUAGAAAAAUCAUAACUUCCUCAUACGAAGUCAGAUUUGGGCGUUCUUUUUAAGCAUUCUUUCGGUUUAACGUAUUCUACGACUUUCAUUUAGAUUGGUAAGGCCAAAUAUCGCUCUAACAUAAAUUCACUAUUUACGUUGCGCUGUGUCGUGUCGGUUCUAUCGCGAAACUUCGACAUGUCAUAACUUCUUCGUUAUAACUCGGAUUUCGGCGUUCUUUAUAUGCACGGAAACCUUGUGACAUAUACUACAACUUAGUUAAGACUAAUCCUUCUAAAUAAUCUUCCACAAAAAAGUCAUUUUUGAUGUUUAUCGUCUCUAAUUGACUAGCCCUAAUCUACGAGCGUUACAGAAUACCACUUUUAGGACUCGCUAUGGCCAUUAUGAGUUUGUGGUGAUCCCGCAUGGGCUCACGAAUGCUCCAUCCACGUUCAUGGACCUCAUGAACCGUGUUUGCAGAACGAUGUUGGAUCGGUCUGUAAUAGUAUUCAUCGAUGACAUCUUGGUUUACUCCAAGACUUAGGAGCAUCAUGAGGAGAACCUGAGAGAGGUGCUGGAGAAACUGAGGAGGGAGAGAAUUUUUAAGAAGUUCUCCAUGUGUGAGUUUUGGUUGCAUGAGGUGCAGUUCCUUGGGCAUCUUGUCAACCAGAAGGGUAUUCUGGUAGAUCCGGCCAAGAUAAAGGUCGUGAUGUAGUGGGAGAUUCCGAGGUCUCCAACUGAGAUUCGGAGCUCCGUGGGUUGGGCAGAGUAUUACAGGAGAUUUAUUUAGUACUUCUCCAUGAUUGCAAUUCCGUUAACCCGACUGACAAAGAAGUCAAUGGUUUUUCGUUGGGGACUUGAGCAGAAGGCAACCUUUAAGAUGCUCAGGCAGCAAUUGUGCAAGGCAGCAAUUCUGACUCUGCUAGAGGGUGUAGAUGACUUCAUAGUCUACUAUGAUGCUUUGAUCACAGGCGUGGGAGCAGUUUUGAUGCAGCGGGGUCAUGUGAUAGCUUAUGCUUCGAGGCAGCAGAAGCCUCACCAGGCUAACUAUCCGACGCAUGAUUUAGAACUGUGCGUUGUGGUGUUCACCCUCAAGAUUUGGCGACAUUACCUCUAUGGUGUCCGUUGUACCAAUUACAUGGACCACAAGAGUUUGAGCUACCUCAUGGAUCAUCCAAAUCUAAACAUGAGGCAGCGUCAGUGGUUAGCAUCGAUGGUUAGAUGUGGUAAAGGACUACGAUUUUGAGAUCCUUUACCACUCGUGCAAGGCCAACAUAGUAGCCAACACCCUGAGCCGCAAGGCGGUAGCGUCCCCGAUCCGAGACAUCUAUCUGAGGAUGAUACUGAUUACUCCAUUGCUAGAGUAGAUCCGAGAGGCGCGGGUCGAGGGCCUGAAGGAGGAGCGCCGGAAGUACGAUCGGAUUAUAAGCCAGGUGGCCUCCUUCGAUUAUGACAACCGUGGGUUGUUGACCCUCCAUGGGAGGGUUUGGCUACCAUACUUGGGCAGACUACAACAAAUAUUGAUGGACGAGGCCCACAAGUCCAGGUUCUGUACCCACCCCGGGGCGACGAAGAUGUACAGAGAUCUUCGACCUGAUUACUGGUGGCCCUGCAUGAAACAGGAUGUAUCCUGGUAUGUAGAGAGAUGCUUGACCUGCAGGAAGGUCAAGGUAGAGCACCAGAGGCCUCACGGCAAGAUACAGCCGCUAGACAUCCUCGUGUGGAAAUGGGAGGAUAUUAAUAUGGAUUUUAUCACUAAGCUUCCCAAGACCACACACGGGGUUGAUUCGAUAUGGGUCAUCAUGGAUUAGUUGACCAAGGGUGCCCACUUUAUACCGAUCCAGGAGAGAAUCUCGGCUGAGAAGCUGGCCAAAAUUUAUAUGCGAGAAGUAGUGGCACGUCAAGGAGUGCCUGUCUCGGUGGUGUCAGACCGAGAUGUCCGUUUUAUUUCCAGAUUUUGGAAUCGGUUUCACAAAGAGAUGGGUACUCGUCUCCACUUCAGCACCGAUUUCCACCUCUAGACGGACAGACAGAGCGAGAGGACGAUUCAGAAUCCCAAGGACAUGCUUCGUGCAUGUGUUUUGGAUUUUGGUGGCAGUUAGGAUACAUAUCUUCCGUUAGCAGAAUUUUCAUAUAACAACAGUUACCACGCCAGACUUGGAGUUUAGGGAGGGCGACAUGGUACUACUAAAGGUGUCGCCCUGGAAGGGUGUCAUACGGUUCCCAAAAUGGGGCAAGUUGGGCCCAAGGUAUAUUGUCCCCUUCCGAGUCAUAGCGCAGGUGGGCAAGGUAGCGUACAGACAGUUCUGCUCGUUGAUCUCAGCCAGAUCCAGAACACUUUCCAUGUUUCUCAGCUAUGGAAAUGCUUGGUGGAUGAUUCAGCAGUGGUACCCCUUGAUGAUAUUCAGGUUGAUGACAACCUAAACUACAUUGAGAGACCAGUGGUGAUUCUAGAUCGCAAGACGAAGGAGCUGAGGAACAAGAGGGUUGAGUUAGGGAAGGUGUAGUGGCAGCACUGCAUGGGUUUAGAGUGGACAUGGGAGCUCGAGGAGGAGCUGAGGGAGCACUACCCAGAGAUAUUUUCAGACACAACAGACUUCGAGGACAAAGUCUAAGACAAGUGGGGGAAAAUUGUAAGGCCCGAUUUCCUGGUACAUAUUUGAUGUAAUUAUUUAUGCAUCUUAGAAGGGACACUCGUCGAGUUGGUCGCCUUAACUUGUCGAGUAGAAGACAGUUUAUGCACAGGUUUUAAGUGAGCUACUCGACGAGUCGGGGUCUUGACUCGGAAAGUAGGACAGGCUGGAUGAAAUCCUAAUCUUUAGGGCUUGCACCCUAUUUAAGCAUCAUAUCUGGCCGCCACCCCAGCCUCUAUCACCUCCAAACCCUAAUCUUGAAACCCUAAUCCACCUUGAGUGAUGUUGAACUAUUUCUUCCCAUUUUGAGUGUUAUUUGUGCCUUUUGAAGCUGGUGGAAGAAGAAGAACACAGAAGGCCCAAGGAGGAAGAAAGUAGAUCCAUGAACUACACUCCAUUUGCUACACUUUCUGGUAAUCAAGUCUCUAACUUGAUCCUCCUUCUCUUAGAUCUAUUUGUUUUCAUUUUAUGAAGGUUUUGGUUGAAGAACCUUAGUCCUUGGGAUUGGUACAUCCGAAGUGAUUUAUAUCUCAGAUCUGGGGUCCAGGAAGCGUUCCAUGGCAUAAAGGUGCAAACUCUGUGACAAUAAAGCUUGUGUGUAAGAACAUUGCCUUUUUAACCCUAAAAGAUCAUGCAUGAAAGGAAAGCUCGGGACUUUAUGUGUCCAACAGAUGAUAAAAUCCUAGAUAUAGUAUAUUGUGCCUUGGUUUAUGGUAUUAUGGCUUGUAGACCAAGAUUUAUGUCUUAAAGAAGUUAGGGUUUGGGUUAAACCCACUAAGAAGGACUAAGGAUGGCUGAAGUUGGAAACUUUAUCCUUAAGAGUGUAUUCCCAGUAUGUAGAUGAAGUUUGGAGCAUAGAUCUGAAAGGUAGGAGCUUAAUCCAUUUGGAUGGCUCAAUCAGACAGGGAAACUCGGCGAGUCCAGGGAAGGAAUCGACGAGUAGAAUCAGGCUGUCUCGAUUAUUAUGAAAGAAAUACCUUGACGAGUCUGUAAAUGGACUCAACGAGUUGACUCGGUCAACCACAAGUUUAAGCAUUACAGGGACUCGUCGAGUUGGGAGAUAACUCGAUGAGUUGGGUUGACUCGGAGUUGACCUUGACUUUGACUUUGACUAGGACAUUGACUUUGACCAGGGGUAUGGUCAUUUUACCCUAAGGAGGAUUAUCAGAUUUUGAUCAAGAGUUAUUAUGGAAUUGAUAGUCGGAGUGUCGCCGGAGCAGCAAACAGGGAUUCCUCUCACGAGUUUUUAGCAGUCAGUCUUGCGAGGUGAGUUUCCUUUUAUUAGGAAUGGGUCGAAGGCACCACGGUCGGCCUAUAUAUGUGAUAUGUUAGUAGUUGAGUGUGGGCGGCACCCGAAUCUCGUAGUAGUCUAGAGUGGGUGGGGCCAAAAUCUCAUAGUAUUUUUUGAGUAUAGAUAUGUGAUUGUUUAGUAGAUAUACUUGUUGUCUUUAUGAUACUUGUAUGCAUGUUAGUAGCAGAGUGUGGGCGGGGCCCGAAUCUCCUAGACAGCAGAGUGUGGGCAGGGCCCGAAUCUCCUAGACAGCAGAGUGUGGACGGGCCCCGAAUCUCCUAGACAACAGAGUGUGGGCGGGGCCCGAAUCCCCAUGAGAGUGGGUGGGGCCCGUAUCUCCUAGUUGCAUGAUAUUUGUAUGGUAUGCAGUUUUUUUAGGGAACUCACUAAGCUUCGUGCUUACAGUUUUCAGUUUUAGUUUCAGGUAAAUCCACUAGCAAGGGGAAGGGCUUAGGAUGAUAGCAUGACACACACCAUAGUUUCAGCCAUGGAUGUUUAGACUCAAAUAUUUUUCUCCUAUGAUUUUGAUACAAUACUUGACAUGAUGUUUUGAGAUACAUGAUACUUGAGGUAACGACCAUCUUUAAGGUAUUAUUUUAUUUUAUAUUUCUUAUUUUUUUUUGUUGGGCUAAAUGUAGAUAGAAGAAUUAAGGAGUGGACUUAAGCUAGUGGGCCGAGAUUUUGGACCGCCCAUAAGCUGUACACUGGGCGUAGCCUUAGCCUACGCAAUGUGUAAAGGUUCAUUGGAUUCGGGGGACACAUGCACAUAUGCGUAGUGUACCAAGGGGUAUGCCCGACGUACGUGAGCAAAUUCAAUAACCCUAAUUUUUAGGGUUUAAUUCAUAUAAAUACCCCAUUAUAUGCUCAACCCUGGCCUCCUUACCAGUCCCUCACCCUCAGAAACCCUAAUUAGCCUCCCUUUACCAUCCUUGUAUGUGUUUUGGUUUUGUGAAGCUUGUUUGGAUAUUUGAAGCUUGAAAGAAGGAAGGAGAAGAUAGUGAAGAGGAGCUUGAGUAUCUUGAGCUCAUAGAUCCAGGUCAACAUCAUCUUUUGGGACUCAAAGGAGGUACAAACCUUCCAACUUUCUUCAUAAGAGCAUACAUCUACGUUUAUGAAGCUUUGGACUUUUUUAGGUCCAAAGAUUUGAGUUUUUAGUUGCAUUUUCGUUUGAGAGCUUGGGGUUGCCACUCAUAGAGCUAAAAGAAUCCCUUGAGCAGUAAAGUUGCAAUCUUUAAGGUCCAUUUUCAACCAUGCAAGAGAUCUAGCUAUUUCCAUGAAGUUGGUUGCUAUUUUUUCAAGUUUAACCUCAUUUGGUGGGUUGCAAGCCACCAAGUGAUCGACUUUAUGGGUUAAGAAGUAUUACUGGACUUAGAUCUAUAAUUUGGAUGUAUUGUCUUAAGGGGUUAAGUGGUUUUGAAGAAAAUAGAUUAGCAGGGUAGUACGUUGGGCGUACACGCCAAUACUUGCAGCAUACAAGCCAUGCAAGCGGUACGCGCAGCGUACAAAAGAGUAAGCUCGGCUUACUCUCGCAUUUUGCGCUUUACAUUAUUGGGCCUAGGUUUGUGCUAAUCUUUAGGCUUAGCAGAUAUUGGGUCGUGAUAAGCCACCAAGAGUCAGUUAAGGGCCCAAUGACUAGUUUGGGCUUGGGGGGAAAGCCCAUUUGAAGAGUUAGGCCCAAUUUACAAAAUUGGUCCAUUUGAGGACUUUAAUGGGCCUUAGUGAGUUUGGAAUGACUAGAAAGGAUUGGUCCUAGGCCAUGGUCCAAAUUAGAUCAAAGGGGUAAAAUAGUUAUUUUACCCUGAGAAGGAUUCUCAAAUUUUGUCUAAGUAUUUAGUUUGGUCAUAAUAGUCGGGGAGUAGUUGGAGCACCUGUCAGAGUUACCUUCGCACAAGUUUUCAGCAGCCAGAUUGAGAGGCGAGUUUUCCUCCAGUAGGAAAGGGUCGAAGGCACCAAUGUCAGCCCGUUUAUGUAAGUUAGUAUAUGCCGGGCUUAGGCUCGAUGCCGGGGAUAGCCCGAUGCAGCUUGUAUGUUUCGGACUUCGGUCCGAUGCUGGGGCAAGCCCGAGGAAUGUUGUAUGCUUGAUGUCUUCGUGAUUCUUACAUGUAUUCAUUUGUAUGUUUCAGACUUCAGUGUGAUGUCGGCGCAAGCCCGAGGAAGAUUUAGCUGAUGUGUUAUGUGUUAUGUGUUUCUGGACUUCGGUCUGAUGUCGGGGCAAGCCCGAUGAAGCUUUACAUGUUAUAUGUUAUACGUCUAUGUGUUAUGUGUUGUUGUUAUGAUAUAUGUAUACCGGACUUCAUUUUGAUGCCGGGCGGGGCCCGGUACCGGACUUUGAUCCGAUGUCGGGUGGGGCCCGAUGCCGGAUUUGUCCGAUGCCGAGCGGGGCCCGAUGCAGUGGGCAAUGCCUAAUAUAUGCUAUUAUGAGUUAUUGUAUGGUAUGUGGUAAUUUGGGGGAGCUCACUAAGCUUCAUGUUUACAGUUUCAGUUGAAGUUUCAGGUACUUCAGCUAGCAAAGGGAAGGGCUCGGGAUGAUCGCAUGACACACACCACAGUCUUUCUAGCUUAGGAUAUGACUCUGAUAUUGAUAUGAGAUUUUUGAGAUAUUAACAGAUGGUAUUUUUUUUUGAGAUACAUGUUUUAUGAUUUUAUAUUAUGGUAAUGAUUUUAAUGGUUUUAAUAAUGAUUUAAAAAUGAAAUUUUUGGGUUGUAUUUUUGGGAUGUUGCAAUUUGGUAUAAGAGCCUUGAUUUGAGGGAUUCGGGCAUGAUUUCGGGUGUGUCUGAACUCAAACUAAGGAAUUGGUAUAGAAAUUUUCAAAAGAAAAACCAUUUUACAAAAAGGAUUUUGCGGAAAGAAAAGAGUUUUAGAAUAAGAAUUUUUUUUUUUGAAAAAUAGAAUAGGGUGUGAUGUAUGCAAUCAGCCGAGCUCAAGUAAGUAAUCCCAAGUUACCCAUAGAAGUUGAUGUUAUGAUAUGUUUAUCAUCUUUAUGAGAACAGCAUGCUAGAUUAGGACUAAGGAUCUAGGAAGGAUGCCUUAUGUGCCUGUUAUAUGUGUAUCAACUUUAUAAGAAAUGCAUGCUAGUACAGAUCAAUCAAUAUGAUAGCCAGAGUAGUAUAUGCUUGAUUAUGUGUACUCAGUGCCCGAAUACUGCUUGCUUUGUGCUUUUAGGAGUUCUAGUUGUCUUUUACUAACUACUAAAUGAAUAUGUUAAGUUACAUAUUGUAAGGACUAAAUAAUUUUAGAAGGUUAGGUCUAGCUCUAUUUCGCAGUUCUUGUUUGAGUCCAACCAUUGUAGGGCAGGAUCUCUCAUUCGAAGAAUUAUCUAGUCUGAGUGAUAUGUAAUAGUAUUCGUGAUCUAGUUAUGGGGAGAAAGCAGUGACUUCAUAUGCAACUGAUGGCAGAGAGUGGGAUGGUGAUUACCCUAGGGCAAGCCUAGGAUGAGAAUAGUGCAUGAAGCAUUUGUAGUAGAAGGGACUUGGUAAAGUCAAUACAGUUCUUGAGGAAAGUACGGAUAGAUGUGGAAGGUAGUAUGGGCCCAUACUACUGAAAGUAGAGGAUCCGUACUCGAAUCAAGGAAGGCUAAGAUGAAUCCAGGGAACUUGUAGUGUAUGUGAUCCCUCGAGUUAUGUUUAGUAUUCUGAUGUUUGUUAUGAUGUGUUUUUCAGAAUGGUGGUUUUACGCCCUAGACAAGCAGUCGGCAGUUCAGGUGAGGGAUCAGGAUCAGGCUCUGGAGUUGGGCAACUAGACGAACAAACUAGGGAGUUCAUCUCCUCAGAGAUUACGCACAACAUACGAGACCAGACUCCUGUGAUCUUCAUCACGAUCAAGGAGGGCAUUCUUGAGCUGUUAGAUGAGAGGUUGAGUGCUUUCCGUAUUAAGGUAGCGACCAUGAUGGGGUCGCAUACAUUGGCGUUCAGGGAGUUCAUAGCUUGUGGGGCUCCCGAAUACCAUGGGCACGGGACCCCAUCACGAGUAUUGGAUGGUUGGCAGAUGUCGCCAACGCAUUUCACACCAGCAGAUGUCCCGAGGAGGACAAGGCUAGACUUGCGUCCUAUCUCUUGAAGGGAAGGACACAUGACUGGUAGGAGGAGGCUGGACAUGCCAUUGGUGAUGAUGCAGAUCUUAACGCAAUGAUUUAGAGUGACUUUACCACCAGGUUCAGAGCCGAGUUUGCACUCGUGAUAGAGGUGCAUCAGCUGGCCAGGGAGUUCCAGGAUCUCCAGCAGAUGACUGAGAUAGUGACGGAGAUCACUACGAUGUUCAGGGAGAGGGCCCUUCUUGUUCCAUAGUAUGUGGUGGAUGAGGAGAUGAAAAGGCCCGAUACCAUGAGAUGUGGCGGAGUGAUAUCCACCAUUUUGUUAGCCGCUCCAGCUGCAGAUGCUGAAGGAAAUGAUUGCUAGGGCUCAAGAGAGGGAGUUGGAUUUAGAGAUGGAGAGGAAGAGGAAACCCGAGGGGGGUUCAGACAGGUAGCUCGAGCAAGAAGCCCAAGGUAUCACACCACAUAUCUAGGAUCCAACAGAGCCACAGCCGUUGUGGCAAAUGCUACAAGUUGUACGAGUGGAUGUGCAUGGCAGGGAGUUCAGGCUGCUUCAAGUGUGGCUCAACUAGGCCUAUGAGCAAGGAUUGUACAACUACUACCACUACCACGACAACAUCAUAUCUAAUUUGCUUUCAUUGCAAUCAUAGGGGACACAAGUGGUCCCAGUGCCUGAGUUUAGCAGCUGCAGGGCAGGUGGCAGCACCUGCCUCUGCAACAUUGAGGAUUACAGAUGCCCGUCAGGGCCAGGAUGAGGCAUCUCUCAUGAAGAGCAGAGCCUUUCAAUUGACACCCGAAGAGGCACGAGCAGCUCCCGACGUGGUCACGAGUAUGUGUCUUCUCCAUUAUCAUUUUAUUGUUUCUGAUUGUUACUUAUAUUUAUGUUUUUUUUAUAGGAUCGUUCUUAGUGAAUGGUAUAUCAGCUCUGGUAUUGUUCGAUUCGGGUGCCACCCGAUCUUUUGUAUCGCUUGCACUCAGCAAGCGAUUUGUAGGGGCUCCGGGGGAGCUGGGCUGCUCACUUUAUGUAGAGAUAGCAGAUGACAUGACCGUUAGAGUUAUUAGGGUUCACCAUGGAUGUACUUUAUAGUUAUUCGAUCAACAGUUUUUAGUAGAUUUGGUUCCUAUUCCCCGAUGAGGGAAUAAGGUUAUAGUGGGUAUUGAUUGGUUGAGCCCCAAUGGGGCAGUGAUCGAUUAUGAGCAGCAACUAGUGAAGGAUCGCAUUCCUAGCGGGGGAGGGUUUGUAAUCCAUGAUGAGAGGUCACAACGCGGACCGGUUUUUUGUUCAGCGGUGAGAGCGAGGCGCCACCUUCAGCAGGGUUGCGUAGAAUACGUCGCCUAUGUCAUGGAUACCCGGGAUAUGGGUAAGGCGGCAAUUUAUGAUGUAUCAAUAGUGCGAGAGUACCCAGAAGAAUUCCCGGAGGAUUUACCAGGGAUACCUCCAGAGAUACAGAUUGAGUUUAGGAUUGACCUCGUCCCUGGGGCGACUCCAAUACCCAAGACACCAUAUCGGUUGGCUCCUCCCGAGAUGCAGGAGUUGUCUACGCAACUGCAAUAGCUGCUAGACAAGAGAUUUAUCAGAUCGAUCAGUUCGCCAUGGGGAGCCCUGAUCCUAUUUGUGAAGAAGAAGGACGGGUCACAUCGCAUGUUCAUAGACUACCGGGAGCUGAACAAGGUAACGAUGAAGAACCGUUACCCACUUCUGAGGAUAAAUGAUUUGUUUAACCAGCUUCAGGGAGCAUCUUGGUUCUCCAAGAUUAAUCUACGGUCAGGUUAUUUUUGGGUUUGGAGCAUUCUAACACUCCUAAGUGUACAUGAAACCCUAAAUACCUUGGAUCUAUGUUUUCUCUAUUAUACAUGUAAAUAUGAACAUCCAAGGUAUUAUGCUAAUCUAGCAUACAAAACAAUGAAUAUAACAAGAUAAAAUACAUACCUCUUUGAUGUACAAUGUCUUCAUGAAGCUUGAGUGCCUAGUGCCCCAAGUGUGACACCUCAAAUGGUUCAUACAACACCAAAUGCACUUGGAAUAACUUGAGAGAAACUUGAACACUUCUAAAAUCGGCUAGCCCUUCUCUUCCUCACUUAGUGGCCGAUUUUGUCUAAGAAUAGGAUCUUAUAUAGUUGUUACAAUUAGGGUAAACCCUAAUUGUCAUGGCUUUCCAUUUCCUUGGAUCCAUGGGUUCAAAUACACCAUGGAGCAUCUUAUGGGUUUUAGCCCAACUUGACAAUCCAUGGAGCAUUAGCCCACUAUACAAGUAUGGAUGAUUUACACAAUCAACCCAUAUAUUUAAUUAGUCUUCUUUUGAUCACUUAAUUAAUUCUAGAUUAAUUCUUGAUCAAUACUAAUUAAAUAAUCUUAUUAAUAUAUAUUAUAACUUAUAAUAUAUUAACAAACCUUAAGUGUUAUUUCUCUCAUUAUAGUCUAUCCAAAUGCAUGAUGCCAUGCAACCCAAAUGGACCAUGCCGGGUCGGGUCAAGUCUUACCAAUUAUAGUUAUGGACUUAGACAUUAAUCCAACAAUCUCCCACUUGGAUAAGUCUAAAACUAUUAUUGCGUAUGACUUCAGGAACCAACUGGCAAUCGUAGCUCUCAAAAGCUUCUGUCGAACUCUGACCUUGUCGAUGAACUCUGACCUUUGUCAAUGACUUGUCCAUUAGAUAAGGGAUCAUAUAUUCCUCCAUUCUAGAUAUCAUAUGGACUGAGACAUGGAUUAUAAUCAUUCUCUCUGUCCAUUUGUUGUUUCCCGAUUUCCGAUUCAUGACGACUGACUGAUUGAACAAAUCAAAUCAGUCCUGGCUUGGCCAAGCACUCACAUGUGUCAUCAUUAAAUCAUCGAGGGGCCCACAGAUAUCGCUUUUAUCCCGAAGGUAAAAGGAAUGGAUAAACUUCGACUCAUAUGGCUUGUUCUACUACUUGUUGAAUCAUACACAAAGGCACGUUUUAUAACAUCGAGUUACCAAUGCGGUUUCGUGCAAUCAAUGUAUAACCAACUCAUAGUAACAACUCAUAUCUCUAGGUUUGAAGAAUAUAAGAUAUUAUCGUCUCAUGAUCACUCGUGAUAAAAUCCAUGAAGUGAUUCAAAUGAGCGCGGGUUGAAUCCAAUACUCAGAACUUAUGAGCACUCAUGAGCGUUGUAGCACAACUUUGUCCACCAACUUGGACCUCUACAAGCCAACCCAUGACAGUCUUGAUUCAUAUCUACUUCCAACAUAUGACCGACUGUGGAUGGUUUGAAUAACUUAGUCAUUCCGGAAGAAUAACCUAGUUAUUAUGGAAGUCAAAACAUGCAAAGUGAAACACAAGAAUAAAUGAAUCAAAUAUGGUAUCAAACCCUAUGAAUAUAAAUAGACCACUUCUAUUUAUCACCAUACUGAUUACUCAUUAUUCAUUGUUUCGGUUUUAUCAACUUUAUACUUGAAUUAAAACACUAGGUAUCCCAUGCUCCAAGCAUGUACACUAUGUUUUCCUAAACAAUAGCUUUGCCAUACACCAAGUAUGCACUCUAUGUUUAUCUAUGAUCCUUACUUUGUGAAAUAAACCAAUUGACCAAACUUUCAAUGAUUCUAAUUUCACACUGCCAAAUCGAAAUCUGUUAGAUUUUAAACUUAAAUGCAUUACCCUCUUCCAAUGAAUGUGUACAAAGUCACAAAGACUUGUCAACAACCAUUACAGGGUAUUCCAAUGAAGACCUACUCCAUGGACACAAAGCCUUAUGUUCAAAGUAUGCAUUGCUUUCAACAUGCUUCUUGCACUAAGUUCUUUCUAAUCUUACACAAAUUGCUUCUAUCUAUAGAUACAACUCUAUAUUCCCAUUUUGACUACUACUUCUAAACAAGAGUUGCCUCUUUUCAGACUAUGUCAAUAUGGCCCUUCCAAAAUUCACACUAUACUUCCAACUGUCCUUGAGCAACCAAUCUUUGGUAAACCUUAGAUUGUCCUCGACAAUUGCUUAAUCACUUUAGUCAUAUCCAAUUCUAGACAUUUUCCUCCUUAAUGCCCCAAGGCAUUUGGAAAAUUCAGAAAGAAUAAAUAUUAUAGCACAAGUAAUCGAUCUUGUACCCAAAGUAAAUGGGACACGAUUCAUGAUGUUUCACAUAAAGACAUGGUUCUAGACCAGUCUUUUGCCAUAAUAAUUUUUUGUUUGCCAUAUUCUCAAAAUUUUACUAUGAAAAGGGAUGUCGUAAUCAUAAUCGAAUUUUGAGAACGCAAUAUAUAGAAUUUUCUUAAGUUGAACCAAUCCAACAUGAAAUUCAUAUAUAUAUUCUUGACUAAAGUUGAUUAAAAUCUCAAUAUAAGCUCUUUAUAAUGAUUAUAAACUCAAUCUAAGUUUUUCAUAAUUGAAAUGAAAUAUAAUCAUUCUAAGCUUUUCAUAAUUGAAAUGAAGUAUAAUUUCCUCUCCCUUAAUUAUAGCAAAACAACUUUUUCAACCCCUGCAACCUCACGAAUUGAAACUUUUGUUUUCUAUAAUUAACAUUGCUAACUUGCAAUACUUAUCAUAAUUAUCAUGCUCCCACUAACAUGAUGAUUAUUAGCAUAACACUUAUGCUCCCACUAGCUUUGACAUGUACUCAGAAAUCAGCUAUUGACUUUUUUACCAAAGUUCAGAUUUCUGAUACUAGAUUGCUUUGAUAAGACUUUAUCAAAAUCAUACACCUUAUCUUAGAUAGUUCACAGGUGUGUCUAAACAAUUUCAAAACUGUGAAAAGGGAUUGUGUAAUCAUAGUCUUAAUUGUUUACACCAUUGCUAUUUCUCAUAAGUCCAUGUUAGUGUGCCUACUAACAACUUUGAGAAUGCAAAGAUUACUAUCUACUUACAAAUCUACUUAGUGGAAAUGUUUCCUCACCAUCAUUUUCAUGAAUCGGAGAGAAACCUUAUGACACUUAGAUUUUUAUGGUGUAUGAGUUCCUACCCAUAUGAAAUUUUCAAAACCUUAGUCACAAGACACGGAUACUGACGCAUCCAAACACAUAUGGACUGAACUUAUGCAAUUUUAACUUCUUGCCACCUGGCAGUACGGGGCCUGUCAUUGCUUCCAAGUUGUUAUCAACCAAUUGAGAACUCUAAGAACUCAUAUGUAAAGCCAACUUUAACUGGAAUGGGCACAGAAUAUGUCAACACGAUAGGUUAUAAACCUCAAGUCCUGUGCUAGUGAAGAACCUCAGGUUUUAUUCUUGAUUAGUUCUUGAGACUUUCAAGACCUUUAAGACUCCCACUGUCCUCUUGACAUAUAAUACUCUCUUGUCAAAUAUUCAAGGGAUAGUGUGGAUUCUUUAUCUUGACAAACACUUCACACAAUUGGCCUAAGUUGGUCUUUGUUUUAUCCAAAACAUCACAACUUACCAACUUCAAAUGUACAAGAAUAGGACACUUUUACUCUUACAUUUGACACGUGUUUUUAAACCUUUUUUUAAGAUAUGUCACUCAAGUUACAAUCUUGGAGUAUGACUCUAAGAAUUGUUUUGGAACGAAUUAUGAAUCAUAUUUUUGAUUUAACCACUUCAACAAUUCAUAACUCCUCUUCUUAGCUAUCAGAAAGCACUUAGAGGAUGAAUUAUGAUAAGGUCUCUUAAUCAUUAAGAUGAUCAUAUAUCAUAAAGUACUCUCCCAUCUUUUCAGAUUUGAGAAACUUUUAUCCUUCUGCCUAAUUUGAUUCUUCUCAUUCGUUCUGCUAUACAUCAAAAAUUUUCCAAUGUAUCAGAAUUACACUUAAGCCUGUAAGUAUAACCAUAUUUACUAAACUUUAGUAAAUCAUGACGAAUAGUCUUAUCGACUAUUUGUGGUGGGCUUGAUCAGUGCACAAGAAUGUGUACUCGAUCCCUUAGUCCUUUACUUGACUCACACAUCCAUGUGAACAAGUAAUUAGUCUUAAUUUUCCAAUACUUGAAAGUUCUCAUUCAUCAUGCUAUACAACUUGCAUGAUUCCAAGUUCCGGUCCAAUUGAAACUUGGGUGAUGAGAAUCUUUCCUUAUUUGGUAAAUUUAGACAUUACCACAAAUGAAAGAAUCAAUUUCAUAUUUCCACUCUUGCUAUUAAUGGAAUCAUAUAAGCAACAAUUUUUCCUCAAAUGCCAUUGUAAGGAUAUUUUAAAAUAAAUAAAAUCAUAAAUUUUCCUUUUAUUUUAAAAACUUUGCGGAAAAACUAAUCCUUACAAUGCAAAUGUAUAUGAAAACUUGUUAUUUAUUCCUAAGCAAUUUAUCAAAACUCUUAAGCACCUGCUCAAAAUUCUGAUCAUUAACCAUGCGAUCGAAAUCCAUCUUCACGAUCAGAAUCAGCAUAUACUUCCUUCUCCACUUUUUUCUUUGAUUCUUAAAACAUCACUAUAUGACCCAGUCACAUCAUGUAAUAAGAAUCUCAGAGUAGAAACUUAACAGAGUUAGACAAUGGACUUUACCUGAAAUAAAGUCAAACCCAUCAACUUUACCAUCCUUAGGUAAGUUUGGCAGCUUCGUAACCAAUUCCCCUUCCUUUGGCAAUUUAACAUAUAGGCUCUUUGAUAAUGGUACAUGGGACUAUCACAGACUUAGCAUUUCUCUUUACCAUUUGGUCAACCGAGUUGACUAUGGCCGAUCCCUNGACUUAGCUUUUCUCUUUACCAUUUGGUCAACCGAGUUGACUAUGGCCGAUCCCUUUCCAUUGGGAAGAGAAUGCUUUUCUGGAUUUCCUGUGUCACUAUUGUCAAUGUCCAUCAAGUUUUAAGGAAGUUGAUCUUAACAAAUAGAUAAGAUCAUUAAGGGUCUUGUCAUAGUCUGUUUCAUAGGUGUCCCAAAGGAACUCACUAUGUGACUUAGAAAGUGAUUGAACCACCAACUUUCUCAAGACUUUGACACCCAACUCUCCCGGCUUGUCAUUAUGUGACUUCAUCUCCAAGAUGUGAUCACACCUAGACCUUGCCUUGCCAAUAGGGCUUGAGUGACCUUGAACUUGUGGGUUAGAGAGAAUAAUUGGAGGAGGUGGACGAAGUGAAGUUCCACGAGAUUUGGGAAGAUCAUAGAUGUCUGAAUUAGACAUCUUUUGGGAGAUAUUCAAGUUUAGUUGAUUUAAAUCCUUAAUAUAACACCCAAUAUGAAAUAUUAAGGCUAGGACCCAACAAACUAUUUUAUAACUUAGAAGAGGUAUGCCGUAAUCCAAGCUAUAAAAUAUUUGAAGGUAGGUGAAUGACGAUUCACCAAUUUCCACCAAGAUAAACGAAAUGUAUUAUUAGGUUUUAAUUGGUUUUGAAACUCCUAGAUCUUUGAGAUUCAUUGAACUUUUCAAAGGCAUGUUUCAAUCUCGAGUGUGCCCUUCAGGUUUUGUGACUGGGAUGCCGAGGAUCACAAAACAAGGUGUGAAGUAACCAUGCAAAUCACUUGGUACCCUUAAUAAAUUACCCCUCAAUCGAUGUGCCGGUUAACCACACACGCUCCAUCGAUACUAUGAUAAAUAUUAAGUCACCCUUUACCUACCUUGUUAAGUCCAAGUUAGUGUGCCGGUUAACCACACACGCUCC
rnacentral:lncRNA from 1 species